UACAGAGGGUGCGAGCGUUAAUCGGAAUUACUGGGCGUAAAGGGCGCGUAGGCGGUGAUACAAGUGAGAUGUGAAAUCCCUGGGCUUAACCUAGGAAUGGCAUUUUAGACUGUGUUGCUAGAGGUCAGUAGAGGGUAGUGGAAUUUCCGGUGUAGCGGUGAAAUGCGUAGAGAUCGGAAGGAACACCAGUGGCGAAGGCGACUACCUGGACUGAAUCUGACGCUGAGGCGCGAAAGCGUGGGGAGCAAACAGG
rnacentral:rRNA from 1 species